AUGUAUUGCCAUGGAAAGAACCUUACAAGUUCUGUAAUAUGUGGUAUAUAUA
rnacentral:tRNA from 1 species